AUUGAACGCUGGCGGCAGGCCUAACACAUGCAAGUCGAGCGGAUGAGAAGAGCUUGCUCUUCGAUUCAGCGGCGGACGGGUGAGUAAUGCCUAGGAAUCUGCCUGGUAGUGGGGGACAACGUUUCGAAAGGAACGCUAAUACCGCAUACGUCCUACGGGAGAAAGCAGGGGACCUUCGGGCCUUGCGCUAUCAGAUGAGCCUAGGUCGGAUUAGCUAGUUGGUGAGGUAAUGGCUCACCAAGGCGACGAUCCGUAACUGGUCUGAGAGGAUGAUCAGUCACACUGGAACUGAGACACGGUCCAGACUCCUACGGGAGGCAGCAGUGGGGAAUAUUGGACAAUGGGCGAAAGCCUGAUCCAGCCAUGCCGCGUGUGUGAAGAAGGU
rnacentral:rRNA from 1 species